GAUGAAGAACGUAGCGAAAUGCGAUAAGUAAUGUGAAUUGCAGAAUUCAGUGAAUCAUCGAGUCUUUGAACGCACAUUGCGACCCCUGGUAUUCCGGGGGGCAUGCCUGUCCGAGCGUCAUUGCUGCCCUCAAGCACGGCUUGUGUGUUGGGCCCCCGUCCCCGGUUCUCCCCGGGGACGGGCCCGAAAGGCAGCGGCGGCACCGCGUCCGAUCCUCGAGCGUAUGGGGCUUUGUCACCCGCUCUGUAGGCCCGGCCGGCGCCAGCCGACACCCCAACUUUAUUUUCUAAGGUUGACCUCGGAUCAGGUAGGGAUACCCGCUGAACUUAAGCAUAUCAAUAAGCGGAGGA
rnacentral:misc_RNA from 1 species